rnacentral:rRNA from 1 species
UACGUAGGGACCGAGCGUUGUCCGGAUUCAUUGGGCGUAAAGAGCUCGUAGGUGGCUAUUCAAGUCGAACGUGAAAUCUCGGAGCUCAACUCCGAAACUGCGUUCGAUACUGGGUAGCUAGAGUCUGGUAGGGGGAUCUGGAAUUCCUGGUGUAGCGGUGGAAUGCGCAGAUAUCAGGAGGAACACCGGUGGCGAAGGCGGGAUCCUGGGCCAGUACUGACGCUGAGGAGCGAAAGCGUGGGGAGCAAACAGG